rnacentral:tRNA from 6 species
GGCGGAUGUAGCCAAGUGGAUCAAGGCAGUGGAUUGUGAAUCCCCC